AAGGAUGGAGUUAAAAAGAAACUGGAGAAAAUAAAGAAGAAUCAUCUUUAUAUUUAUGCAACAAGAAAGAAAAAUGAAGCUACUCAUCUCAAAGCAUACUGGAGUCAAAGGAAUAAAACUAUACCUAAACAAAACCAUGUCAAUGAAGAAUUGGAAAACCAGAGCCUAUCAAGAAUUCACUGCAGCCAUCAAGAACUGAUUGAAAACGAAAUAACUUCCGGAGUGCAUGAAGUAGUGUACUAUGAAGAAAGCUAUCCGGCAAAG